rnacentral:rRNA from 1 species
CUCUCUGAAUCUGCGUACGGCUCCGCACACCAGUUGUAAACCAAAGCAAGCAAGCCCGGUCUCGACGCCUUUCGGGGCUAGGGGCUGGGCUACAAGGAUAACCCUGGUAAUUCUGAGGCUAAUACUUGACACGGAACCUGCCGACUGGGCCUCGGUCCGGGAGGCAGGGGAUGUGCGACCAUCGGGCCAAAGAAACCGGAAAGAGCGCACGUUCAGACCACUUAAAAAGGCCACGGGGUCCUUCGGGAUCCCGGGGCUGUGGCUCUUGCAGCGUGCUUCUGACCUAUCAACUAGACGGCAGCCUAAGGGACAUGCUUUGGUGACAACGGGUACAGAGGAUAAGGGUUCGAUCCUGGAGAGUGGGCCUGAGAGAUU